rnacentral:rRNA from 1 species
UGGGGAAUAUUGCACAAUGGGCGCAAGCCUGAUGCAGCGACGCCGCGUGAGGGAUGGAGGCCUUCGGGUUGUGAACCUCUUUCGCUCAUGGUCAAGCCGCAACUCAUGGUUGUGGUGAGGGUAGUGGGUAAAGAAGCGCCGGCUAACUACGUGCCAGCAGCCGCGGUAAU